rnacentral:tRNA from 1 species
GGCGGUAUAGCUCAGUGGUAAAGCACCUGCUUAGCAUGCCUCAGGUCCUGGGUUCAAUCCCCAAUAACUCCA